rnacentral:rRNA from 1 species
AGCGAACGCUGGCGGCAGGCUUAACACAUGCAAGUCGAACGGGCGUAGCAAUACGUCAGUGGCAGACGGGUGAGUAACGCGUGGGAACGUACCUUUUGGUUCGGAACAACCCAGGGAAACUUGGGCUAAUACCGGAUAAAGCCCUUACGGGGAAAGAUUUAUCGCCGAAAGAUCGGCCCGCGUCUGAUUAGCUAGUUGGUGUGGUAACGGCGCACCAAGGCGACGAUCAGUAGCUGGUCUGAGAGGAUGAUCAGCCACACUGGGACUGAGACACGGCCCAGACUCCUACGGGAGGCAGCAGUGGGGAAUAUUGGACAAUGGGCGAAAGCCUGAUCCAGCAAUGCCGCGUGAGUGAUGAAGGCCUUAGGGUUGUAAAGCUCUUUUACCCGGGAUGAUAAUGACAGUACCGGGAGAAUAAGCCCC